CACCACCAAGGAAAUUAAUCUGUGCUUCUUAAUAUGACCAUUGACUCUACAAGAUUGUGCAGACUUACCUCAAAUACAGGCACUGAAACAAAUACCCAUUUAAGAUCCUAGAGGACCACAACCCUUAACAUCUAUCAUUUCUGUGACAGGAAUUUUGGAGAGAAGGCUCAGAUAGCACGAAACAAGAGCAACAAGAGCAACAAGAAAUUGCUCACAUCUGUUCUGCAAGCAUCCUGUAAAGCACUAGAAGUUGUUGGUAGCAAGUGCCUUGCUGACUGCUGGCUGCAGGACUCUGAGCUCUGCCUCUGUGCAACCUGGCUGUUCUCAGAGUAGUUGCUUGGGUUUUUCAUCUGGGUUUUUUAAUUUUCUUGGGAUGGUUCUCUAAGACAAUUUCUUUUAGCUACUCUAAUCUCUAAAAUAGUCUGAAAAACAGUAGCCAAAGGCAGUGUAAAGAAGACAGCACAAGCACAGUGUUUCUGCUGCUGUCUAGCACAAUGAGACAGGAGAGCUCUCUUGCUGCUGGAACCUUCACAUCAUUUGAAGAUGCGUCCUUGGAGCACCUUAAUCUCAAGAGAUAUAACAUGGCAGUUCCAUUUUACCCCCAAGCUACUGUGAACCAGUACCACACCUGACCCAGCCUUGUCAUGGACCUUUGUAUCACGGACAUGAAUAUUUUAAAAUUGCCUCUCCUCAACAAAUUGAGCACAACCUGUCCCAGCUUUAGUCAGAUCACAGUAAUAGCAUGUGUUGGCUGAAUGGAAUAUUAUUCUAGGUUUUAAAUGAAAUAUACACACUGUGAAAGAUAGCCCAUAGUAACAAUGGCUUUGGAUAGGGGAUGGUGCUUCCCUUUGAAAUAUUCCAGGCUUUGUCCAGCUUUUUCAAAUUGCAUUGUAAAAGCAAGUAAACAUUCACAUUUAAAAAUA